GGAAUUACACAAACACACACACACGCAAGGAAAAAGCAUUCCUGUAGAGCUGGACUGGACUAUGGGAGUGUAUAAAAGCGCAUUGUGAUCGCCAUCCCUGCAUUUCUUCCAUUGAUCUCCUUUCAGCACUGAUACACCGCAGAUAUUGGUGAACACUAGUACAACAGCCAGCGGAUCAGAAACCUUUGCAACUCGGCUAUAAAAGCCUUCAGAUGUCAUGAGAGAAACAUUCGGACGACGACUUCUGCUCUUCGGCCUCUUUGGAUGUUUGCUUUUAUUCUUUAUGUCAUAUUACAAAUGGAGCGUGACUCAAGAACAGAAAAAGCUCAAGCAUGAAGUAAAGAAGCAGCUGCUACGAGAACUAUGUCAUGAUGACAAGAAUUUAGGAAACAUCGCUCAGAAGGAUUUACGUCAUCUUAUUGUGAAUGACAAACACGGCAUCAUCUACUGUUUCAUUCCCAAGUUAAGGGGAUACAAUCACUCUCUCACACAUCAUAUCCAUGUAUUUUCACGUAAAGUAUCAGCGCUAGGUAAAAUGUUGUAGUGACAAACAAAAGAUAAAAUUGUGACACUUAAACUAACCUCACCUGACCAGUGACAGUUUACUUCUACUGCAGGUAAGCAUACCAUUGCCAUCUAGGGGCCAAUACCAUCAACAAAGCAAAAUACCAAAUGGCUCCUACAAAUGUGGACAGUAUAGACAGCACAGAAGCCUCCAUCUGUUAAUGCUAAAUAAAAAUAAAUCUAUAUUAGUGCGAUUUUACACUUCCUUGUCUAACAAAGAAUUUAUAGUAUAGUUUUAUUUUGUGUGCAUAGUAUAGUUGUUUUUGGGUUUUAUCUGAAAAAAUAUUUAUGGUAAAGUUCGAAAAAAGGAUAGCUUAUGAAUUUUAGUUCCCAUGAGCACUGAUGGUGCAUCUUGAACAGCAGUUAUUUUAAAAAUCAGCACAAAUAUUUAAAACAAUAGCACUGAGGAUUCAAUUUGGUUUAGGUAAGGCAAGGCAAGUUUAUUUAUGUAGCACAAUUAAACAGGAGGGUGAUUCACAGGGUAAAGGAGGGUGUGAUUACUUAAUUGCCUGUGAAAAAGUCUUAGCCCUCCCUUAGUCCUGUCAUUUAAGCAGAGUUUUAAAAGCGUUCAUAUCUGCGUCAAAAAGAAAAUAGAGCAACCACAUUAUUAUUACGGAGUGACUAUUUGCACCAGGGUACAAAUAGCAAGCCCCCACCAGCUGAGCUAUUCACACCCUGUUGACACAUGACAACAAAUGCGUUGCCCAUGCGCAUGUGCACCACUCUAAAAUUGGAACCAUGUCAAACAACAGAGCCAGGCAAACUUCUGCUCUCACACUUUUGUAUGAACAAUUUUUGCUCUUAUGUCAUUGUAAGAUAUUUUGAAGCGAUUAAAUUAAGUUUAUCAAAGUGGUGUGAAUACCUGUCAAUCACUGUUGAGCUGAUGGAUUUUAUUUUUUAUAAACAUUUUUUUUCUAAUUAUACAUGGGGGCAAAUAGCACCCAUGUAUGUAAAUAGCCUAAGCAUUAUUAUUAUUAUUAUUAUUAUUAUUAUUAUUAUUAUUAUUAUUAUUAUUAUUAUUAUUAUUAUUAUUAACAUCUGUAUAGCCAAUAAACAGGUUAACACCAUCACCAAGCACCAGCA